UACGUAGGGGGCAAGCGUUGUCCGGAAUCAUUGGGCGUAAAGAGCUCGUAGGCGGCUCAGUAAGUCGGGUGUGAAACCUCCAGGCUCAACCUGGAGACGCCACCCGAUACUGCUGUGGCUAGAGUCCAGUAGGGGAGUGUGGAAUUCCCGGUGUAGCGGUGAAAUGCGUAGAUAUCUGGAGGAACACCGGUGGCGAAGGCGGCAUCCUGGACCGACACUGACGCUGAGGAGCGAAAGCCAGGGGAGCAAACGGG
rnacentral:rRNA from 1 species